rnacentral:rRNA from 1 species
GACGAACUGCCCAAACGUUGUUCGGAAUCACUGGGCUUAAAGGGCGCGUAGGCGGGUUUACAAGUCAGGGGUGAAAUCCGGCAGCUUAACUGUCGAAGUGCCUUUGAUACUGUAAAUCUCGAGGGAGGUAGGGGUGUGUGGAACUUCCGGUGGAGCGGUGAAAUACGUUGAUAUCGGAAGGAACGCCGGUGGCGAAAGCGACGCACUGGACCUCUUCUGACGCUGAGGCGCGAAAGCUAGGGGAGCAAACGGG